UGCCUUGCUUCCAACAGCAACGCCAAAGAGACGUAAACGGAAACGCAUCAGAGGACCUCGCCCUGCUGCAGAAGGUGCAAAAGAUCCCGGAUUUAACGCCGUCAGAAAGAACGGAGCGGUUUGAGUAAGGCCCGGCCAGCCUGUCAAGCUUCCCUCCAAACAUAUCAGACUCUACCGAUUUAAUAUCGACCGGCGAGCCAACGAGUUCUCGAAAUUAACAGGAAGCAGGGGCGCUCUGUAUUAACUAUGGGCGGUUCUCAGAAGCCCCUCUCGCAGAAAAUCGGCAAGAUGCGCGGAAGAGCGGCGCGGGGCCGAAGGAUCAACGGCACGAAUUUGGAAGAACUACUGUUCGGUGUGCAGUGACCAAGUGAGAACCAAUUCCGGAGCUCGUCCCGACAUCGCCGAAGGACCAAACUCAUUAUUACAUCCGUCGGUGUUAAAGUCAAUGUCUAAUUCGCUUGGAAGAGAUAGUAUUGGAAAGCGCUCAAGUUUACGGGAAAUGCGUGCUCCUAUAUCAAAAUGAAUGUAUUCGCCUGGAUCAACUUUACAUCUGACAACUUUAUCUCGUGGAGUACCUACAAUUGUUCUCACAUCUUUCGGAGGCCAGUUUCUCCCGAAACGAUGACUCAACCGAAAAAGUACUAACAGAGGACAAAGUAUUAUCAGAAGAAAAAAUAUCACUAUGAAGAAGAAUACUGUCAUCUUCAACGUUUAUAAAACACGUACUAUCGCAAAUAUUACUUUCCACAUAAUUAGUAUGUUUUGUAUGUGACGCGCCCAACGUAUCUUCAGUAUUAAUAUUAUCUAAUUCUCUUAAAGUAUUCUUUAUAUAACUUUGACUUUGCAAGUUAGUUUUUAUUUCGGAUCUAAUUCUUCUUUGUUGUCUAUCACUUAAUUGAUGCCACCUUUUUCGCGAAACGGAGCGUUUCAGUAAAUAAGGUUUUAUAUUUAUCUGAUGUUAUUCCUCGCUGUUGCCCAAAUAGCUAUUUUCUCACCGAUGAAGAUUAUAUAAUAUCCCUUGCUGUAGUCCAAAUAUUCCGUCUCACCGAAUAAAAAUUCUGAAAAAUUUUUCAAUUUUAAAAUUUUUAACACACACAAUACUAACAGACCAAGAUAAAAUUUUUGUCUUACAGCUCUCGCUAUUGCAAUCAGAAUGAUUCAAAGCGCGACAAUUGUUAAAAAUGCCGCUCGACAACGCUAACGGUUCCACCAAUCACAAGCUUGUAAAAUGUGACGCAGCAUGUGUCCGCGAAUCCGCAGACCGUUGUCGAGGGUAACAACUAGGCGUCUGUUUUAAAUAAUUACUAUUGCGUAGUAACACAGCUCGUCUUAUUGUAUUAAUAAAUGCUAGCAAAUGUAAAAAACCUAAAGGCUAUAUUACACAUAAAAUGUAAAAACCUAAAGCCCAUUUUUCUACUAUUUUACAUGCGAGAAUUUUACUACUAAAUUAACAAAAUAGAUUAUUUAUUUAAUUAUAAAGGUAAAUUAUAAAGGUCAUUAAAAUAAAUA